rnacentral:lncRNA from 10 species
CUUGGGAAAAGAGGAUCUAGGAUCCAGUUGGUGCAGCUUAUGGCUUGUCCCUGUGUGUAUAGUUGUUAAAUUAUUCUUUUAUUUUUAUUUUUAAGAAGUUAUUCUUUAGAUAAUAAUAGGCAUGUAGCUUAAAAGGAAACCUCAAAAGACACAAAGGAUUUGUCUCAUUUUAAAUUAAAAAAAUACUGUAUCAGCAUCAAGUAAUUAAACAUUUGUUGGAAUAUCAUAACUUCUUUUUUCUUUAUUGUAUGUUCCCUUUCCUGUGCUUACGUAUUUUCAGAAAUUUUAGUUGGUGUGCAUACCACAAUUUGUAUUUUAUACUUAAAUAUACAUUUCAUGGUUGUAUAUUUAUUUGAUCAAGUUCUUUUAUAUCAAAUAACAGAGCUUGGCAUUUGGUUGCUUGCUCAUAACUCGGCAGUAAGCAUUUUUAAGCAUGAAGUUAUUCUUUGGUUGAAUUUUAUUCUUGAUAUGGGGCUUAGGAGUGAGAUUUCUGGUCUACAGAAAUGAUCAUGCUCAUGAAUUUUGACAUUUAUCGUCAUGAUGCUUUGCACAAGGGCUGCACCAAUUUAGAUCAUCUUUAGCGGUGAAUGAGUGGAUUAAUUUUACUACAACUACUGAUGGUGGUGGUGGAAUUUCAGUUGCUUUUUUUUGCGAGGUUAAUAGGUCUAAAAUUUUACUUUUGUUUGAUGACUAGUGGUUUGAAUUUUUCGCUGCCUGUUAUAUUGCUUGUAUACUUUGCCUGUUUGUGUCACUGUCCUUUUGGAUUGGAGUCAUACUGUUUUUUUUUGUUUAUUUUAACUUAUCUGUAUAAAACAUUGUAUUCAAAACUAGUUAUUGUUGGUCAGAUUUAAUACAAAUGUUUUUCCUAAUCUGUUUUCUUCUCCUGUGACAUUAUCUAGCAUGCUUUGCAGUGGGUCCAGAGUUGUCUGGGGAUCAAGUUUAAGUAGCCCUGGACCAACUGGACUAAAUUUGAUCAGCAGUCAAAUUGUUGCUAAGAGCUAUGCACAUGGUGCUGUAUUUGGGGUAGCUUUUAUGAGAAAAUAGAAAUUAAGAUGAAAACUAAUUGCCUUUUUUUGGUGUGCUCAGAACAUUAACCAGGUGGUAUUUGUUGGAAAUUUCUUGAGAAUUAAUACGAUCGCCAUGCGGCUUUUGGCAUAUGCUUUGGAUUAUUGGUCCAAGGGGCAGUUGAAAGCACUUUUUUCGGAACACGAGGGUUAUUUUGGAGCUGUUGGAGCACUCCUUGAGCUGUUGAAGAUCCCGUGAUCAUUACCUGGGGAGGGGUUCCUGAAACCUUCCACAAUGGGAUCUGUGGACUUUCAUUUUUUUAAGAGACUUACUCAAUUUCAUGACUGUACUACCUGAAACAAAGUGAGAAAGGACAGGUGUAUUUUUCUAAGUCAUCAAGAUAAAUCCUUAAGAAUUCAGUCUAAAUUAGCAACCAGGAAGGAAAAAUAUAUUAAAAACAACAAAAAAGUGGCACAUGUCCAGGCAGUGUGAGGAUUUGCUGUAUAUAAGUUGCCUGCUUUGUAUUUUUGAAAUCUCUGCAUCACUCAUUGGAAGUGCUUCUGAAGAGAGCUGCUCUGUGUUCAGUUGACUGGUUUUGUGUCCUGUUUGAACUUGCUGAAUGUAAGGCAGGCUACUAUGCGUUAUAAUCUAAUCACAAUUUGUCAAUAUGGUCUUGGCAAUCAUCUGUGCAUUACUCUGGUUUGCAUUAAGCCUGUGUGUGAACUUACUGUAAAACAUGUUUUAUUUCAAGGUUCUGCAAAAUUAAUUGGGCAGGUUAAUUGUGUACCUGAAACUUAACAAGCAGUUUUUG